GGUGCCAUUUGGCUCAGUGUAUCUGGUAAUUAGGGCAUUGGCGACCUUGGGGAGAAGUGUUUUCGUGGGGAAAUAGGGACAGAAAACAUCCGCCGUGGGACAGGUUGAGCUGCGUGGCAGUAUGACAUCCUGGCUGGUCUCCUGGGAAGGUGCUCAGCUGGGGCCGGCUGCCUGUCCUUCUGCUCGCUCAGUGCUUCCUGAAACCAUCUGAACCUCAAAGGGCACCAGGGGGCGAGAGCCGGUGUCCCAUUGGUUGCUGACAUGGCUUCCUAAAAACAGAAGAAACGGCGGCCUUCUCACGCCGCGGGCUGGCCUUGGUGUGUGAGAAGCCCAGGCGGGGACAAGGGCAGGAGUUAGGCAUGUUUUGCAGCACCAGAUAAUGAAUGAAGCCAGGGCAGGACUCCUUCCAGGUCCCAUAGGCAGAGAGGGAGGGAAGACCGGAUACUCACCCAUAUCAGCCUGCCGGACAUUUUUCAUCCGGAUGACCUUCACUGUCAGCAGGUGGCAUGGAGAGACCCCAUCCUGUGGGUUGAGAGGACAGAGGACUCAUUCUUCAGGUGAUGACAACUGAUAGAGCAGCUCAAGCUGGACACAGGCUCCCACUGCUCAGACCCAAGAUGUCUCCUCACAUUCAGUCCACAUUUCUGGGCUCUUGAGGACAUUGCUGGUCCCCAAGACUGCUGAGGUGAGGGGCUUACUUCUCGCCUCACUAGGAGCCAGCACACCUUGGAAAGGGAUGGCUUCAUGCCUGUUCUGUUCAUGUUUCUCCUGUUUGAAUCUCACGAUUUGAAGCCCCUUCCCUGAGAGUUUUAACCAGGCUUAGAGGAAUCUGUUUACCAUCCACUCCCAGCCUGUGCCCAUGGAAGAUGCAUGGAACUCCUCCAUCUGACCAAGUGACCCUAUUUAAAGAGGCCUCUGAAGAACUUAUCAAACUCAACACCCAAAAAACAAAUAAUCCAGUGAAGAAAUGGGCAAAAGACAUGAAUAGACACUUCUCCAAAGAAGACAUCCAGAUGGCCAACUGACACAUGAAAAAAAUGCUCAACAUCACUCAUCAUCAGGGAAAUAGAAAUCAGAACCACAAUGAGACACCACCUCACACCUGUUAGAAUAACUAGCAUUAACAACUCAGGCAACAACAGAUGUUGGCGAGGAUGUGGAGAAAGAGGAUCUCUUUUGCAUCGUUGGUGGGAAUGCAAACUGGUGCAGCCACUCUGGAAAACAGUAUGGAGGUUCCUCAAAAAGCUAAAAAUAGAACUACCCUACGACCCAGCAAUUGCACUACUAGGCAUUUAUCCAUUGGAUACAGGUGUGCUGUUUCGAAGGGACACAGGCACCCCCAUGUUGAUAGCAGCACUACUGACAGUAGCCCAAGUAUGGAAAGAGCCCAAAUGUCCAUCGAUAGAUGAAUGGAUAAAGAAGAUGUGGUAUAUAUAUAUACAAUGGAGUAUUACUCAGCAAUCAAAAAGAAUGAAAUCUUGCCAUUUGCAACUACAUGGAUGGAACUGGAGGGUAUUAUGCUAAGUGAAAUUAGUCAGAGAAAGACAAAAAUCAUAUGAAUUCACUCAUAUGAGGACUUUAAGAGACAAAACAGAUGAACAUAAGGGAGGGGAAGCAAAAAUAUAAAAACAGGGAGGGGGACAAAACAUAAGAGACUCUUAAAUAUGGAGAACAAACAGAAGGUUACUGGAUGGGGUGUGGGAGGGGGGAUGGGCUAAAUGGGUAAGGGACAUUAAGGAAUCUACUCCUGAAAUCAUUGUUGCACUAUAUGCUAACUAACUUGGAUGUAAAUUAAGAAAUAAAUUAAAAAAAAAAAAGAGGCUUGUGAGUUAGGACCUUUCACACUCCACAUAGUUUGCCCUGUUGCCAAAAUCAUAUUACACCUUUUUAAGAAUAUGCAAUUCUUCUCUAUUUAAAAUAUUGUUGGGGUUUUGGGAAAAACAUAAAAGUAUGAAGAAAAAGAAAAGAGUCUCCAGCAUCCCACCA